rnacentral:rRNA from 1 species
UGUAAUUGGAAUGAUGGUGACCCAAACCCUCACCAGAGUAGCAAUUGGAGGGCAAGUCUGGUGCCAGCAGCCGCGGUAAUUCCAGCUCCAAUAGCGUAUAUUAAACUUGUUGCAGUUAAAAAGCUCGUAGUUGAAUUUUAGCGUGUUCGAGUUUGCCAUUCGUUUGGCUUUUUCGAGUUCGCUUUUGGGUUUUCCCUUUUUACUUUGAGAAAAUUAGAGUGUUUCAAGCAGACUUUUGUCUUGAAUACUUCAGCAUGGAAUAAUAGAGUAGGACUUUGGUUCUAUUUUGUUGGUUAUUGAACCUUAGUAAUGGUUAAUAGGAACGGUUGGGGGCAUUCGUAUUUAACUGUCAGAGGUGAAAUUCUUAGAUUUGUUAAAGACGAACUACUGCGAAAGCAUUUGCCAAGGACGUUUCCAUUAAUCAAGAACGAAAGUUAGGGGAUCGAAGACGAUCAGAUACCGUCGUAGUCCUAACCAUAAACCAUGCCGACUAGUGAUUGGAGGUCGUCGUUUUGCUGACCCCUUCAGGAA